UUUUUAAUCCUCCUUGGCUACUAGCAAAUGCGUGGAGGAGGGGGGUGGUGUGUGAUCACGGAAGGCUUGUAUCAUGUGGACGCGCCGACAGCUUUGUUGUCAUUACUUACAAUUCCUCAUGGGGGAGACAGAAACUACGCACUAUAGCUUUAAGUCUCCCCAUUUUUCUCUUCCUGUUUAUUUCUGUAAACAUUCUGUGAACACUUUUGCAACAGCUAACAACAUUUUGAUAAGUAGAAUCUAAAUUCAGAAAUUGGUGGGGUUUUUUUGUUUUUUUUACCCGGGUAAAAAAAAGAAAGAAAUGAAACCGAUAUCAUAGAUGUAUUAUAAGACCUGCUGAUCAACUCUUGAAAUGAUUUAAAACCAGAAACAAUGAGCCCAUCAGCUUGUCAGCUCAUGGCAUGGAGUAUUGUGUUAGAACUUGUUGAAAAUCCCCACACAAAACAAUGUAAUAAUGUGCGCUAAUAUGUCUUUAUAAGUGCAGACUUGGUGUUUUAAAGGCUUAUCCACAGGUUAUUUCAUAGAAAUAAGGCCAAUGUCAAGUACAUUUAAAAGACAAUGUCAAUGUCACAAUGAUCUGGUUUACAAUCUUAUGUUGGGAAAAUGUAGUGUGGCCCUGGUGUCAGCCAUCCCAAAUGUUAAUGUUAUUUUGCCAUUCAGCCAUCUGUAACUUCAGUCCUUGAUCCUCGCCUCACCCGACCAGAGUCCUCGUCAUGUUCACGUGUUGUCACCUCAUGGUUCUCCAGUCUGUUUGAUGAAAUCUCUUAAAUGUGCAUAUACGCUUUUUCCUCAGGUGAUUAAGCUGUAAAGCACCCAACACAAGGUGCUACUUAUAAUGACUACAAACAGAAACAAAUGUCAUCAACACAUACAUUUCUGUAUUAUGCAGAGCACUGCGUUGUACUGUUUAGGACUGGCAUUGAAACAAAAGGUUACAUCUGUAUGUGUGUUAAUUUUUUUACCCAUUUUGUUUUAAGUGGUUGUGUUCACACUGCUGCACCUUUUGGGUAAAAAAUGUUCCCGUUCCAUGUCACAUCACAUUUUUCCUCAUUGCCGUGAAGACGUUUUUUGUAGUCCUUUUCUUAAUCUCAGAUCUGAUGUUAUAUAGUUGUCUUUUUGCAGCAGUUAACAUUUUAUUUUACAGCCUGCAGGUUUUUGUACUUUCAUACAGUAGACCCGUAUACACUAACAUCUGAAGAAACCUUCAACACAAAAGGCAGCAGUGUGAACAAAGCAUUUCACUUCGUCCUUGUGUAUUUUCUUUGAGCAUUGUUAAAAGAAUCCUCUGAUCUGUGUGACGGAUGGGGAACCGGAUGGAAAGGGUGGGGUCUUUGCCACAGUGACGGUGUGAAAUGGUCCGUCUCUGACGCUGGUGCUUCCUUUGGUGCUAACAACUCCUCGUUCAAACUUCAGACUUCUUCAAGAAAAAUUCAGUCAGAGACAAAAAAAGCACUGUGUUGCCAAGUACUUUCUUUUUUUUUUUUUUUUUUCACACAUCUUUGCACUGAACUUGUUCGUGCUCGCGUCCAUGGUGGUGUCUUAUCAGAGCUGUCUUGCUGUGCAGAUAUAGAAGGUGCUGGCUUUCCCCCCCUUUUUCAUUGAUUUGUUGGGUUUGGUUUACCCGCCUGGGCUUGCUCUGAAAAAGCAAAUAGAGGGAAUUUUAAUAAGUCAUAGAGUGUGACGGGGCUGAUGCUGUGAAAAAUAAAACUGGUGAGAAAUCGGGUGCGCUAGCUGCAAUUUCCUGCCUCUGUAAGAGAAACUCACACUUAUUAAAGGUGGCUCUGGUGAGAUGUUUGCGCCUCCUCAGAGUCGGAUUGAGAAUUGCCUAUGAAACUUCACAUACUUGGUUUAGUUUUAAUCCUCCUAAAGUUCUUUUAAACUUCUCGGCACCAGAGUGUGUGUACUUUGAAUACUGCUGGCUGCGUCUUCCACCUCCUGUGCAACAGAAUGGAUCGACGUUCGGGCUGUUUUUAUAUCUGCAGCGACAUUGAGACAUCAAUGCCGCUACGCUUGGCAGCCAAGCUAAGAGGCUUACAGGAGGCUCGACUCUGCCUCGCUGCAGAUAGGGGUCGGUGUCGGCUCCAAAAGGUAUCCUGCAUGGAGUGAGGCCGUGUUUUCUGACAGAGCUUCAGCUCUCGGGCCUCAUCCUCUCUGCUCAGACCCUGAACACCUGUCAGCCUGUUUGUUAUCUCUGGCUGGGAUCUGUGUGAGGCUUGGGUGAGCUGCGUGAAAUUUUGAUUCGAGAUGGUUUCGCCUCUUCAGGCGGACUGUCAGUAGUAGGCUAUACCACACCACCACAGUAUGAAGACGAGUAAACACUUUAUUCUUCUUUGUACACAGUCUGUGAACGCGUGGACGUCUCAGAGUGCUCUAAAGGCUGCAACAUUCAUUUCAAGCUUGUUGGCAGCAGAAUCAGUCUUGGCAACUUCAAACAUGGCUCUUCUAUGUUCACUCUACUGUAGUAAGUGUCUACUCUGGGAGUAUGAUAGCUUUCUUUGUUGCCCAGCUCACGCUCUCUCUUAUUUCUGGGUCCUCUUAGCUCAGUAAUCUCACAGGCAGGCUUUGCGUGUGGCAGAGAAGGAAGACCUCAAGGGUUGCGUGUGGCCACAUGGACUAAAACACUCCAAAAAACAUUAUGUCUGGCCGGGGUGUCGUAGCACUGCACUGCUGCAGCUGAUGCCUGCUCGGAAAAGCGACAGCAAAGGAAAUGAAAUUGAUUGUUUUACCACUUCAGGAUCGCGACUGUUGCUUUUAGAGAUUGUUCACUGGUGGUAGGAUCGGCAAGGUUGUUCAAAGACGCACUGGUUGAAAGCGACUCCCCUUGACUUUUGUGUACAAGUGCUAAAUUGAGAUUGUUGGCUUCAGUAAUUCCCAAACAAAUUGGGAAAUCGGUCAAGGGUUCCCAAACCUCACAGUGGCGUGCCCCCAUGAGCCAUAGCAGAUGUUGUCAAUAAAUCUGUCCAGUUUUCUUUUUAAUUACUGUUAUUUAUUUAUGCUGAAAAGGUGACUUCUGCAGUAGUUUGGAAUUAUUAAAAAGAGAUUUGCUCUCCUUUUUGCUCACAAAUUUGUAUUUUUCUCUUUUUUUGUGAAAUCCGAACUCAUAAAAUGGCUUAAAUUAUGAAUUUGCAAUUGAAUUCCCUUUUUGUAUUAUUCCAGGUGUGUUAAUGGCUACGCAGUGUUCCGUCUGUGUAUAACAGACACACAGGCGUCUUGUUUUUUUAGGUCAAGAGCAAAAAAAAAAAAAAAUGUGAAUCUGGCAAUGUGGUUAUUGUAUUUGCAAGGAAGAUGUGCAAUAUACGGUUCUCAGAUGGUUCCAGGUUUCAGCGUAGAACUUUUUAUUUUUAUUUUUUUUUACUGUUUUUCGUUUUUCCAGUCAGUUCCUCAGGUCACUAAAUGCCUUCUGGUCCUGAGGGUGACCAGGAAAUCUCAGAACAUACACUAAUGCACCCGAAAUACAAAACGACUGGAUUUUAUUUUAGUCUUCUCUCUCUCUUUUCGUUCCUUCCCCCUUUUUUUCUGUGACAUUUUUCUCAGUUAUUUUUUUUUUUUAUUUUCAGGUUAACACAGGCACUUAUUCAGGUGUCCUUUCCCUUUCCUCCUUUUGUGUUAUUGUUAUUUAUUGCACAUGUAAUGAACUGGUUUCCAUUGCCACAUUGAAUUCAAGUUUUGGGUCUAGAACGGGGCUGGAAUUUCUUACGUACAAAACUACAGAAGCUUUUGUCAAAACCUAAGUGUGUAUUUCAUCAAUAAAUGCCUUUAAAAGUG